CAGUCGCCGCGGGAAUACAGAGGGUGCGAGCGUUAAUCGGAUUUACUGGGCGUAAAGCGUGCGUAGGCGGCUUUUUAAGUCGGAUGUGAAAUCCCUGAGCUUAACUUAGGAAUUGCAUUCGAUACUGGGAAGCUAGAGUAUGGGAGAGGAUGGUAGAAUUCCAGGUGUAGCGGUGAAAUGCGUAGAGAUCUGGAGGAAUACCGAUGGCGAUGGCAGCCAUCUGGCCUAAUACUGACGCUGAGGUACGAAAGCAUGGGGAGCAAACAGGAUUAGAUACCCGAGUAGUCCCUGUCUCUUAUAC
rnacentral:rRNA from 1 species